rnacentral:tRNA from 1 species
GGAGACGUGGCCGAGAGGCUGAAGGCACACCCCUGCUAAGGGUGCAUAGGGUUUGUAGCUCUAUCGAGGGUUCGAAUCCCUCCGUCUCCGCCA